rnacentral:rRNA from 1 species
GCAAGUCGAGCGCGCCCUUCGGGGUGAGCGGCGGACGGGUGAGUAACGCGUGGGAAUAUGCCCUUCUCUAAGGAAUAGCCUUUGGAAACGAAGAGUAAUACCGUAUACGCCCUUCGGGGGAAAGAUUUAUCGGAAUUGGAUUAGCCCGCGUUAGAUUAGGUAGUUGGUGGGGUAAUGGCCUACCAAGCCUACGAUCUAUAGCUGGUUUGAGAGGAUGAUC